rnacentral:rRNA from 1 species
AGAGUUUGAUCAUGGCUCAGAUUGAACGCUGGCGGCAUGCUUUACCAUGCAAGUCGAACGGCAGCGGGGGCUUCGGCCUGCCGGCGAGUGGCGAACGGGUGAGUAAUGCAUCGGAACGUGCCCAUGUCGUGGGGGAUAACUACGCGAAAGCGUAGCUAAUACCGCAUACGCCCCGAGGGGGAAAGCGGGGGACUCUUCGGAGCCUCGCGCGAUUGGAGCGGCCGAUGCCGGAUUAGCUAGUUGGUGAGGUAAAGGCUCACCAAGGCGACGAUCCGUAGCGGGUCUGAGAGGAUGAUCCGCCACACUGGGACUGAGACACGGCCCAGGCUCCUACGGGAGGCAGCAGUGGGGAAUUUUGGACAAUGGGGGGAACCCUGAUCCAGCCAUGCCGCGUGAGUGAAGAAGGCCUUCGGGUUGUAAAGCUCUUUCGGCCGGGAAGAAAUCGCGCACUCUAACAUAGUGUGUGGAUGACGGUACCGGACUAAGAAGCACCGGCUAACUACGUGCCAGCAGCCGCGGUAAUACGUAGGGUGCGAGCGU